ACACUUCCACCGUACCAAAGACCUCAUUAACACUUAGGUUUUUGUUUUUCCCCCUACUUGUGUUGUUGGUUUCUCUUACCUUUUUUUGUCUUCAUUUUGCCAUGGCUAAGUUCUUUGCUGCUUUCAUCUUGGCUCUCAUUGCCAUUUCAAUGCUCCAAACUAUGGUCAUGGCUGCUAAUGGGCAAGGAGGCCAUCUCUAUGACAACAAGAGCCAAUAUGGACCUGGGAGUGUCAAGAGUUAUCGUAAGUAAAAGUUACUACCUAUUAUUACUAUGCAUUUUCUUCUAGUUUUUCUCUUCUAAUUUUUUAUAAUUUUCUACAAUGUUGAACACCAAAAUUGUGGCAAAACACCACAAGAACUAAGAAGGAACGGAUUUUUUUUCUGAAAUAAAUAAAAAAAUAUUAUUUCUAAAAACAAAUUAUUUCAACUUUACAUACAAGGAAUAU